GUGUUUUUCCACACUCUUUUGUAAAUCAGAUAGUGUGUUCUAGCAACAGAAAAGUAAUAAAUAUAUCUGAUGUCAUUGUUUACUGAUAUACAUGUUAAUGUUUUUUUAAAUCCUCCUGUGCAGAAUACAGGGCUAAAUUCACCAAUCAGAAGGCUGAGCUACAAGAAGUACUGUUGUAACACAGAGAACCAAUCUGUUGAUUUCCAACUGUGCACAAAUUCCCAGGAUCCUCAGCCAGACUUUGGGUAUAUCAUAAGUAAGGACAGUGGUACAAGGGGUGCUUUAUCACUCACAGAAAGAAGCAUUUUGAUAAAAUUAAAUCAUUGGACUGUUUUGAAAGUGGCAAUUCCAGUGAUCCACAAAAUAAAGGCUUCAGAAUACUGUGGCACUGUCAGAUGGGAUCAAACGUGUCAGCUUCUUUGAUAAAUGACCUCUGUAAGUAAGGACAUGCAAACAGAAGCACAUUCAGAGUGGAGGGGUGACAUUUGGAGACUAUUAAUUUCACCCUGCAGAACAGGACCCAGUCCAUCUUAUUGCAAGCCUUUGCUUGUAACCCAUGUGGCAUCAAGUCUUCUCUUAUCUGAAUGGGGAAAAUGAAAGCACAUUAGUUUCAUUUUACAUCUGUUUAAUACGGCGGAUGCACAAAAGUGAACAAUUCAAGAAUUAUUUUCCUUGAUGGCCUUUCAGAUGGUCAUUCUUUUUCCGUUUCUUCUCCUUUAAACUGCAAAAAAAAACAAUGAAAAUCAAAGUAAAUAUAUAAAGAUUAAAUAAACCAAUACAUGGCAAAUAAU